rnacentral:misc_RNA from 1 species
UCCUGGUUAACCCAGGCAGUCUCAUUAGAGUUCCCACCUUAACGUGUUGGCAACUAAUGAUAAGGGUUGCGCUCGUUGCUGGACUUAACCAAACACCUCACGGCACGAGCUGACGACAGCCAUGCAGCACCUAUGUAAAGGCCCUUUCGGGAAACAUCAUCUCUGAUGUCGCCCUCUACAUUUCGAGCCCAGGUAAGGUUCUUCGCGUUGCAUCGAAUUAAACCACAUGCUCCACUGCUUGUGCGGGCCCCCGUCAAUUCUUUUGAGUUUCACCCUUGCGAGCGUACUCCCCAGGCGGCAUACUUAAUGCGUUAGCUCCGGUACAGAGGGGGUUGAGCCCUCCUACACCUAGUAUGCAUCGUUUAUGGCAUGGACUAC